rnacentral:rRNA from 1 species
CGUUCGAGCAAGAAUUCUUGUUAGAACUUACGCACACGUACUUUACCGCGUCUGUACUUCCUUAGAUAUCCCGGGAGAUAUGGCUUUCCUUUCUGCCAGUGAGUGACAGGUGGUUCAUGGUUGUCGUCUGCCUGCGUAGAGAGAUGUUGGAUUAAGUCCCCCACCGUGCGCACCCCGUGGUGUUUGUUUCCAGCAUUUUGUUGGGCACUAGUAAUGUGACUGCCGGUGACCAACCGGAGGAAGGCGGGGAUGACGUCAAAUCAUCAUGCCCCUUAUGACCUGGGCUACACACGUGCUACAAUGGAUGGAACAAAGGGCAGCGAAGCCGCGAGGUGUAGCGAAUCCCAUAAAACCAUUCUCAGUUCGGAUUGCAGGCUGCAACUCGCCUGCAUGAAGCCGGAAUCGCUAGUAAUCGCGGAUCAGCAUGCCGCGGUGAAUACGUUCCCGGGCCUUGUACACACCGCCCGUCACACCACGAGAGUUGGCAACACCCGAAGUCGGUGAGGUAACC